GACGAACCGUGCGAACGUUGUUCGGAAUCACUGGGCUUAAAGGGCGCGUAGGCGGGCCGCCGCGUCCGGGGUGAAAUCCCCCCGCUCAACGGGGGAACGGCCUCGGAUACGGGCGGCCUGGAGGCGGGUAGGGGCACGCGGAACUGUGGGUGGAGCGGUGAAAUGCGUUGAGAUCCACAGGAACUCCGGUGGCGAAGGCGGCGUGCUGGACCCGAUCUGACGCUGAGGCGCGAAAGCCAGGGGAGCGAACGGG
rnacentral:rRNA from 1 species